rnacentral:rRNA from 1 species
CCUACGGGUGGCAGCAGUGAGGAAUAUUGGUCAAUGGACGAGAGUCUGAACCAGCCAAGUAGAGUGAAGGAUGACUGCCCUAUGGGUUGUAAACUUCUUUUAUAUGGGAAUAAAAUGUUCCACGUGUGGGAUUUUGUAUGUACCAUAUGAAUAAGGAUCGGCUAACUCCGUGCCAGCAGCCGCGGUAAUACGGAGGAUCCGAGCGUUAUCCGGAUUUAUUGGGUUUAAAGGGAGCGUAGGUGGAUUGUUAAGUCAGUUGUGAAAGUUUGCGGCUCAACCGUAAAAUUGCAGUUGAAACUGGCAGUCUUGAGUACAGUAGAGGUGGGCGGAAUUCGUGGUGUAGCGGUGAAAUGCUUAGAUUUCACGAAGAACUCCGAUUGCGAAGGCAGUUCACUGGACUGCAACUGACACUGAGGCUCGAAAGUGUGGGUAUCAAACAGGAUUAGAUACCCUUGUAGUC